CCUACGGGAGGCAGCAGUGAGGAAUACUGGUCAAUGGACGCAAGUCUGAACCAGCCAUGCCGCGUGCAGGAAGACGGUCCUAUGGAUUGUAAACUGCUUUUGUACGGGAAGAAACACUCCUACGUGUAGGAGCCUGACGGUACCGUAAGAAUAAGGAUCGGCUAACUCCGUGCCAGCAGCCGCGGUAAUACGGAGGAUCCAAGCGUUAUCCGGAAUCAUUGGGUUUAAAGGGUCCGUAGGCGGUUUAAUAAGUCAGUGGUGAAAUCUGGUCGCUCAACGAUCAAACUGCCAUUGAUACUGUUAGACUUGAAUUACUGUGAAGUAACUAGAAUAUGUAGUGUAGCGGUGAAAUGCUUAGAUAUUACAUGGAAUACCAAUUGCGAAGGCAGGUUACUAACAGUUGAUUGACGCUGAUGGACGAAAGCGUGGGGAGCGAACAGGAUUAGAUACCCUGGUAGUCCACGCCGUAAACGGUGGAUACUAGUUGUUUGGAUUUAUCUGAGUGACUAAGCGAAAGUGAUAGUAUCCACCUGGGGAGUACGAACGCAAGUUUGAAACUCAAAGGAAUUGACGG
rnacentral:rRNA from 1 species